CGCCUGUUUAUCAAAAACAUUGCCUCUAGCUCAAAUAUUAGAGGUAACUCUGCCCAGUGAAACCCCAAUUAAACGGCCACGGUAUCACUGACCGUGCUAAGGUAGCACAAUAAUGAGCCCUCUAAUUAAGGGAUAGAAUGAAUGAACCAACGAGAAAUAGACUGUCUCUUUUAUAAACGUUUAAAUUUAUUUUUAGGUGAAAAAUCCUAAAUCUUACACUAAGACAAAAAGACCCUUUAAGCUUUUUAUUUGACAACACUUAUCAAUUACAAAAAUAUUUAAUUGGGGCGAUUAUAAGAAUUAAACACUUAUACCUUAUAGGACGAUCCUCCAUUAAAUUUAUCCACUAACAUACAAGUAAGUUACUAUAGGGAUAACAGACUAAUACUUCUUAAGAGAACAAAUCAACAGAAGUGGUUAGCACCUCGAUGUUGGCUUAAGGCUCCUUACUCACGCAAAAGUGAGAGAAGGGGGUUCGUUCAACCUUUAAAUCCUUACAUGAUCUGA
rnacentral:rRNA from 1 species